rfam:Cyphomyrmex costatus contig10974, whole genome shotgun sequence.
GCCUUUGUAGUCUAACUGGUAAGGACUCUCGUACGGAAUGUAAGAGAUCCGGGUUCGACUCCCGGCCAAGGUA